UUUUAGAUAAAAAAAACCAUCUAUACCAAGGGGAAAGUAUAGAUGGCCAAACACAUUACGGGGAAAACGUCUUACUCACUUACUUACUCUAUGAAAAGUAAGUGCUUGUAUGACUGGGUAGGCUAUGAAUAGUUCCAAAAUUAAUAUGUUAAACAAUGUAAAU
rnacentral:ncRNA from 1 species